rnacentral:rRNA from 1 species
UUGGUGCUUGCACCGAGCGGAGGAGUUGCGAACGGGUGAGUAACGCGUAGGUAAYCUGCCUCUUAGCGGGGGAUAACUAUUGGAAACGAUAGCUAAUACCGCAUAAAAGUCGACAUUGCAUGAUGUUGACUUGAAAGGUGCAAAUGCAUCACUAAGAGAUGGACCUGCGUUGUAUUAGCUAGUUGGUGAGGUAACGGCUCACCAAGGCGACGAUACAUAGCCGACCUGAGAGGGUGAUCGGCCACACUGGGACUGAGACACGGCCCAGACUCCUACGGGAGGCAGCAGUAGGGAAUCUUCGGCAAUGGACGGAAGUCUGACCGAGCAACGCCGCGUGAGUGAAGAAGGUUUUCGGAUCGUAAAGCUCUGUUGUAAGAGAAGAACGAGUGUGAGAGUGGAAAGUUCACACUGUGACGGUAACUUACCAGAAAGGGACGGCUAACUACGUGCCAGCAGCCGCGGUAAUACGUAGGUCCCGAGCGUUAUCCGGAUUUAUUGGGCGUAAAGCGAGCGCAGGCGGUUAGAUAAGUCUGAAGUUAAAGGCUGUGGCUUAACCAUAGUACGCUUUGGAAACUGUUUAACUUGAGUGCAGAAGGGGAGAGUGGAAUUCCAUGUGUAGCGGUGAAAUGCGUAGAUAUAUGGAGGAACACCGGUGGCGAAAGCGGCUCUCUGGUCUGUAACUGA